ensembl:lncRNA
CUCAAACUAGACUUUUCACUAGGCAUGUGGUCCAAGGAUGGUUCAGUACACGUCCUUUCACCUAUACUUUAAAGAGCCAUAGUGCUCUUUAGUAGCUUCCUUACUGUCAAGGAAAAUAAGCUGCUGUUGUAUACUUUGUUUUACCACUGCUUUUUCCUUAUCUUAAAUUUCUGAUCUUUGCUGUGAUUCUGAGUUCCCUUGAGUUCCAGCUCCCUGAUCUCCUAUUUUGCAUUGAAGGCUCUUUCAUCUUGUGACUGUUUGUGAUGAAUUCUUUUCAGUUCUGAAGGGGCCCAGAGCCGUAUUUCUCUAGAAGAAUGCUCUGGGAUUGGUAACUUGAGGUGAGUGUUUCUGGAAAGAGUCCAAGGGCAACCAUAUAGUGGGGUACUCUUUCUUUCUCCAGGAAUAUGCUGCUUACAGCCUACCCAUAAUAUAUGCUUGUUUAACACCCUCUGGUGAAUUUAUUCCCUGAGUGUGUCACCUUGGUUUUUAAGCCAGCUAGUGCUUUUAGCCUCUGCAAAGUUCCCGUGUAUGCCCAGAAGAUCUCUAUUUAGACAUGGAAAGUAUUUUAUUUUGUUUUGAGCCUGUGGCCUCUCCCUUUGUAGUCCCCUACAUCCUAGUACUGUAUGAUGUGGCAAAUAAUUGGCCCUGAGGUCAACCAGCUUUAGUUUUACUGAUCUCUUUUGCUCCCUCCUUUAGUGUCUGCUUUCUAAAUAGAAAGGUUUCUAGCACAGCCAAUGCCUCCCCAAGGAGAACUCUUCCCCUUGCUCUGUACCUUUUGCUUCCUUAUCUUGUUCACUUUUACUGUGCUCUGUGCCCGAGCUUGCCUCAGGCUCUGAACACAAACACCACCCCACUUUCUCCUCCUUUGAGUCAAUCCCAGGUGCCCAGAUGUCUUCUGGCAUGCAAAUCUGUUCCUGUGGAAGAACAGAAAGCGGAGCAGUGCUUGCCCACCUGCAGCAAAGGAAGCCAACAGGACAGGAUGUUUUGUCAGAACAAACUCUGACAGCUUCUCCAUUUAGUUCACCUAGAUAGGAGUUUCACUGCUCACACACGAGAGAGAGGACCUUUUGCUGGUCAAUGUUACACCUAGUGUGGCAAAGACUUGUUUGGUAUUUUCUGAUGCCUUCAAAUGCCUGAUUUGAGUCAUUUGAAACCAUAAACCCUGCAAGUGUAUGGAUGCUUCUAGGAAUGUCCAUCCCAUUACUCUUCUAGGAGUCUACACCAUUACUCUUCUAGGAAGAAUUUGUAGGUCUGGAGGUCUCCUGGAAAUCUGAUGCCGAAUAGGUAGUUUCUUCAAGCAACUUUUGAAGCAUCUUGUUGCAUUUUUAAAGCAGAAGUGACACCUAGUGUUGAGGAGAGGUCAUUGUCUAUCACGUUUGUACAUGGACCAGGAUGCUGAGCUGGUUAGGAGAGCAACUGGGUGAUGAGGUGUGUGAGAAGGACAAGAUGCUGGAUUUGUUUUCUGAAUGUGACACUUUUGUGAGCUUGAGAGUCUUAACCAAACGGGGUGCUAUAAAGCUAAGACCUUCCAGGUAUCUUUGUUUGUUUGUUUGUUUUUUUCUAGUAUUGAGCUCCCAGUUAGUCUAAGCCAAUAAGUCUAAGUAAGUCACCCAGUAAGUCUAAGGGGGACUGCAGCAAACAGAGAAAAUCAAUAAAUUAAAAAAAAAAAAAAAAAGAAGAAUCUGUGUAAGAUGCAAUUAUGCAAAAAAAAAAAAGAAGGCGUCUUUUUCCUCAAGGGGUUGGAAGCGAAUGGUAUUGAUUUGUGUUUUAGUGGGUGGGCCGUCCAUAGCCCACAUAGGGUAUUCUGUGGUCUGGUCAUAUGUUGUGUGUUCAGAAACUUUUUUGUUUCCCAAGAAACAGAAGUCUGAUCCAGUAGUGCAGAAGAGAGACUGGCAAAGAAUUGUUUGACCACCACUAGCUAGCACCAAAAGAAGUUAAGAACAAACCAAAACCUCCUCCAAUAAAACACUGUCCUGGUGCCUUGCAUCCACAACUACCAGGAAAAAUAAGCAAAUGGGGAGAUGCAGUUCAUGUACAAAUUACCACCCUGCCUGCCUACCAACCCCAAUUUAAAGUAAGGAAUAAGUAAAGAUGAGUAGUUACUGAGAUAAAAGCUAAGGUAUCCACUGUGGUACGUGGAUAAAGAACCUACUACUAAAAUAGUGUGAUCUUGAAGCACUUAGUGAGGCGAUGAAGCUAUAUUUAUUAAGCCUGGCAUUAAAAAGACUGGAGGAGAGGAGAGUCUAAUUUCUGUCUGUCACUACCUAAAGAGGGUGUUGGGCAACAGAACGAGACUCGGUUGAGGUACAAAACAAAAAGACAGGAGGCAAUGGAGGUGGUAGAAACCAGCUGUAGAAUGGGAAAUUCUGUCUGGACGUUAACAGGAAGUCUUUUUCUGAGAGUGGUUCAGCACUGCCCAGCUGGGCAGCCUCUGUCCUUUGGAGAUGUCUGGAAGUAGCCUGGAGCAGACUCCUUGCUGCUUUGAGGUGCUGCUGAUCGCCUGCUGCUGAAGUCUGAGGUAGGAUUUGACCAUGCAAUAAGCUCAGCCUCUGUUUCUAUAAUGAGAACCUGGUAGCGUUUCUACUGGAAUUUCAUUCUUCUGUGCAAAAGCAGUCUUUGUUUCCUGUCCUUGCUCACCCUGAAUGAGUAAUGUUUGUCUAUUUUUGUUAUGUACUCUAAGACUUACAGAUGGAAAAGCAACAUGCCAGCACGCUGCAGUAUUUUUCAGAUGGAAUAAAAGCAAUGCUUUUAAUAUGGGUCAUGCUGCCAGGUCCUCUAAAAGCAUUUUACUGUGGUUUUUUGUUGUUUUUUAAUGGCUGGAGUAGAUCCAGGCUUAUGGUGAAGUCUUCCUUCUGGAUACGUGCACAUCUUGCUAGACUUGACCUGAUUGUGAUGGAUUUUCAUGAAAGCUGUACUUAGUUUUUCCAGCGCGUUCAUCUUUUACUUUAGUGCUGCUAUUUCUUAUGACUUGCUGUAUGUUAUGUUAUUUGACAGUCUUUUUGCAGGCUGUGUGCCUGGCAUGAAUUUACAACUCAGCUUGCUUAAAAGUGGACAGGCUAUGGAGACGUAUCUGAAGUGUGAAGCAGCUGUGUGCCAACACCAGCAGGGAAAAAACAGGAGGAGUCAUUGAUGAAUAUUUUAAAAUCACUUGCUUUUCAGCGCAGUGCUGAGCCAAAAGUAGGGUAGAGUCUCUGUCUUCAGCUACGGUUAUUUACUGCUUGAUUGCUUGUUUCUGAAACAGUAUGCAGUUUGGAUGAAGGAAAAUAUUAGGGUUGCCAGUGGUCAGGAUCUGUGUUAUCUUUUGUCACUACUACUAGAUCUAGAUCAUUUGGUUGUAUGUGUAAAACUUUUCCCGUUCUGUUCUCAAAAAAAUCAGAUUAAAUUCAUCACAGAAAGAAUUGUUUCAGAGAUACCUUUGCUAACAUGCAGAGCCUUUUCAAGCAAGCGGAUAGAUCUGAUACUUGAAGAAAAAUGCAAUGGUUCUGCUUUUUGGCCUAUGGCUACCUGGUGACGACUGUCUCUUCUUGGAUAUGGUCUGUGUGCUGUUGUGCUGUUUGAGUCAAGUUGUCAUCCAACUUCUACAGCAAGAAAUCCAAACUACAGAAGUAUAGCUGAAAAGGCCAAAAACGCCAUCUACGAGAAUGCGAACUUCCAGGGAUCCUCCAAAGAAUUAGCCAGUGACACUGCCAAUCUGAAAGAUGAGCAUUGGAAUGGCCGUCUCUUCAGUAAAAGUAAUAGAACAGCUUUGGGUGGCUUAUGAGCACUUCAGCUAUGCAGGCCAGGUAUUGGUAUUUGAGGAAGGGCAACAUAGAUUUGCUGGUGAACAGUUAAAUGACAAGAUCACUUUCCUGCACAUGAUCUGCAGAUCUGCAGAUCAGUCUAUGAACAUGCUCAGUAUUGAAGGAAGAGCAGGGUGAUAACAGAAACAACCAGCCUGGGUUGGGGACAUGCCACUGACAUUGUCACCAAGUCCAGAGAGGUGCACAGCCGUUGUAUGAACACAGAGACGUGAUUUAUGCUAGAUUGCAUGAGAAUAUGAACACCUUCCAUGUUACAACACAAUUUCAAUGACAAGCUUCCAUUUAUACAUCUACUUCUGCCACAGGCAGAUUAAGUAGCUGGUGUGCCAAGCAGUGACAGAGGCUAUAACCACCAAAAGCAAGCAAGGUAUCCCAGCAAGCCUAUCUUCACCACUUCCAUGGACAUCACUGGAUACAAAGGACACCUUUCAUGGGUCAAAUAGGCAAAUGGGAUGAGGACAAGAAGGAGGGCGCUGAAGAAGCUUUGUGUGUUGCACGCCACAGAUGUGCUCUGAGGACCACCCACUGCUCAGCGUUCCUUCAGGAUUGUGACUGUGUUUCUAUUCUUUACCUCCAAAAGAAUACACUAAAAACUACAUGACAGACUAAGUUUCAAUAUAAUUUGAAUUAUUAAUUUCAUUUGCAUAUGAAAUAUGCAAGGCUUUAUUACAGAUGUAGGCUCACUGUUUCAGGAACUGUUUUGACAUGUACAGGCUUAUCUGGAGAAUUUGGAGUUGCAGUUCCAAAUGACACUGCUAAAUGGCAUCUGCACUCUGAGCCAUACUGUAGAAGUUGUUGUGCAGCUCUGCAUUUUAAAUCUCAUCCGUCUCAGUGCUGAGAUCCUGCUCUUGCAUUCAUAGCUGGACACAGAGCCUAUAAGCAUGCAGGGUGAUCGGCUGCUGGGCUUUGACCUGUUUAAAAACAAACACAGCAGGAUCUUUUGACGUGUCAGCACUCUGUGGUCCUUUCCAAGGCUCAUGGAGGUAGAUGCAAAGAUGACAAUUCAGGCUUCAUGUGGUAUAGGACACUUCUUACUAAUAUGUGCUCAAUUUCUGAUUUUCUUGCUUUAUUCAUCACAGGUCUUCUAAAAGGGUUUCAAGAUUCAAGUGAGAGAACUCUGAGUAUCGUCCUUACUAUAGGCCAAAAUAACUAGGACAGUACGAAGCCAGCUGUGCCAAAAGGAAGAAGUGUUACCAUGAGACAGAGGGGAAGGAUCUAACAUUGGUGUGUUCAAAUGCAGACUGUGGCAGUGGUGCGAGUGUGCUGUGCGUGGUGUUCUCAGCCUGCUCAGUAAGGCAGAUCAGUCUGGCUGUAUCAUCACUGUUAGGUUUCUUCCAGAGGGCCUAAGCACAACACUUCGUGCAAUAUAUAAGAAAACUGCAGAACAUCAAUGCAUGUAAUGUUUUUAAUCCUGUUACUAAUGUAACUUUCCAUUAUUAAUACCUUUUGGAGUAACAAAUCUAGGUGGCUGAGGUCAUCAUCUUCUGUCCAAACAAAUCUGCAAAAUAAAUGAUGUUGGAAAUCCUACUGAAUUGCCAUGAUGGUGUCUCAGGGUUCCCUUUCAGCAUCUUGGCAUGAUAUUGAC